AGUAUUAGUUGUGUUCUUGAAACUUAAAGAAUUUGGCGGUAUCCUAUUCCGUUCAGAGGAAUCUGUCUCGUUAUCGAUAGUCCGCGUUGGACCUUACUUAGAGUUAUAUUUUUGGUUUGUAUACCGCCGUUUAUUGAUUAUCUUUUUAGAGUUCCUUAAUUUUCUGGUUUCUUUAAUUUGAUUUAUUGCAGGUCAAGGUGCAGCUUUUUCUAAGUGUAAUGAUGGAUUACAGUGUUAUGUGUUGUUUGGAUUGUUUAUUUUAAUAUUGACAUGAAAUUGGAUUUGGUUGUAAUGUCUUGUAAAUUGUUUUCAUGAUAGUUGGUUCUAGGAUAUGUACACAUCG
rnacentral:rRNA from 1 species